rnacentral:rRNA from 1 species
UACGUAGGGUGCAAGCGUUAAUCGGAAUUACUGGGCGUAAGGCGUGCGCAGGCGGCUUUGCAAGACAGAUGUGAAAUCCCCGGGCUUAACCUGGGAACUGCAUUUGUGACUGCAAGGCUAGAGUACGGUAGAGGGGGAUGGAAUUCCGCGUGUAGCAGUGAAAUGCGUAGAUAUGCGGAGGAACACCGAUGGCGGAGGCAAUCCCCUGGACCUGUACUGACGCUCAUGCACGAAAGCGUGGGGAGCAAACAGG